UACAGAGGGUGCGAGCGUUAAUCGGAGUUACUGGGCGUAAAGGGCGCGUAGGCGGUCAUUUAAGCUAGAUGUGAAACCCCUGGGCUUAACCUAGGAAUGGCAUUUAGAACUGGAUGGCUGGAGUACAGUAGAGGGUGGCGGAAUUUCCGGUGUAGCGGUGAAAUGCGUAGAGAUCGGAAGGAACACCAGUGGCGAAGGCGGCCACCUGGGCUGACACUGACGCUGAGGCGCGAGAGCGUGGGGAGCAAACAGG
rnacentral:rRNA from 1 species